rnacentral:rRNA from 1 species
UUGCUCUUCGGGUGACGAGUGGCGGACGGGUGAGUAAUGCCUGGGAAACUGCCCGAUGGAGGGGGAUAACUACUGGAAACGGUAGCUAAUACCGCAUAACGUCUUCGGACCAAAGUGGGGGACCUUAGGGCCUCACACCAUCGGAUGUGCCCAGGUGGGAUUAGCUAGUAGGUGGGGUAAUGGCUCACCUAGGCGACGAUCCCUAGCUGGUCUGAGAGGAUGACCAGCCACACUGGAACUGAGACACGGUCCAGACUCCUACGGGAGGCAGCAGUGGGGAAUAUUGCACAAUGGGCGCAAGCCUGAUGCAGCCAUGCCGCGUGUAUGAAGAAGGCCUUCGGGUUGUAAAGUACUUUCAGUGGGGAGGAAGGCGAUGAGGUUAAUAACCUUGUCGAUUGACGUUACCCGCAGAAGAAGCACCGGCUAACUCCGUGCCA